rnacentral:lncRNA from 1 species
ACGGGCGUGAGCGUCGGUACGGGCGUGAGCGUCGGUACGGGCGUGAGCGUCGGUACGGGCGUGAGCGUCGGUACGGGCGUGAGCGUCGGUACGGGCGUGAGCGUCGGUACGGGCGUGAGCGUCGGUAGGGGCUUGCGUGUCUAUUAAUUGUUAUGUCCUUCAAGCAUGAAUUAAGUAACACCUUCUGGUUAUAAUGCCAGCCCGGAAUAUGAAUAUAAGGUUAGCUUCUACAAUUGAUUUGGCAGGAAUCAAAUCCGAGUUCCUCUACUGCGGAUUCGGCAGGGACCAGGCCUUCAGCGAUGGUUCAAUGCAUUAAGGAACCACAUUGAAGAAUUUCACAGAAGGAUCUGGAGGCCAGUUGCCUCUAGGAGUUGAAGGCAGCUUCCAGCUUACAGUCAGCAAAUAACUGGGGACCUUGUUCUUACAACCACAGGAAAUGAAUUAUAUCCACAACCUGAAUGAGCUUGGAAGCAGGUAAUUCCAUAGAUAAUCCUUUGGAAGAGGAGGCAGUAUGGCUGACACCUUAACUGUAGCUUUGUGAGAUCUGUAACAGAAGACUCAGUAGCUAUGCCUGGAUUCUUGAUCUGCAGGUACUCUGGAUAUAUGUGUGAACAUCUUUAUCCAGAACUGAAUUAGUGCUUUAUUUUGAUUAUGAUCUACUUUGCUGAUACUUGAAGAAGAAACAGGACCCAAAGCUAACCACACAAUCCCUAAAUACACUUAGAACUCAUAUAGUUAAUAUAUUAUGUUUUAUUUCUCCUAUUCCCAUUUUGUUCAUUAUAUACCCUCCUGAAGCCACAUGGCAGAGAAUACACUUUAAUUGAAAUACACAUUUAUAUAUGCUUGUGUCCAUCCUUUUACUAUGAUAAGUAGAAUUAAUUAUGUUGUGAACGUUGCUAAAGUCAUAAAAAAAAAGCAAUAUGUUUGGUUUUUCCUAGAUCACAUACAGAAGCAGAUGAAGAACAUACAUGUAUGAUAAUACACAUAUAUUGGGCUUCUGGUAUUCUGAACUUUCUUGAAUUUGCACAAAAGCUCCAUUUCAUUAUUUUAAAAAAUUCAAAAGUAAAAUAAUUUUGCAACUGUAUGAGAAGCUGAUGAGUUGUUUUAAGUAAUUUGAAUUCCUAAGCCUCAUUUUCUAAAUGUUCAAGAGUAAUACAUACAUGCAGAAAAAUGAAAUUAUGUUUUGUGCCAUGUCAAAAGUUUCCUAUUUCAUCUAUAUCUAUCCACACAUUAUAUUUUGUUAGUUGCUUCUCAAAUUUCUCACCUUUCAGAAAAUGACUGGACAUUCAUGCCUUUGCUGAAAAAAAUAACUAUGUUGAAAUAGAGAAUCAUCCAAUUUCAAGAAAGACAGCAUCAUUACUGCAGUUCUUAUAAAUAUGUAGUUCAGGCCGGGCACAGUGGCUCACGCUUGUAAUCCUAGC